UCUCACAGUGUUUCCUAAGAGAGUGCUGUGUUUGCUUCUCACGUCAGUACCCAGAAAGCUGGUGGGUGGGGCAGGACUGGUCGUCAAGGGCCUGGGUAGGGAGCUUACUUACCCUGGGACUGUCUGUCAUACAGGGCCACAAAGUGGCAGAGGUGGAGCCCCCUAGAAUCUCCUGACUUCUCCUGCUACACUCCUCCCUCAGUGCCUCGGACCCACUAGGUAAUCUGAGUUCUGAGGGACUGGGAUCUCAAGGCCAGACCAGCUCACCCCCUACCACAUCCAACCCCUGAACCAUUGCUGGGGAAGAGCAGCCCUGUGGGCCUCAAAGCACAGCUCCACCGUCCACAUUCAGGCAGAAGGAAAAGAAACGCUGCAUUCCAAGCCUCCCUCGGGACCAAGCACGCCUUUGUUCACUCUCUCCCCAGCCACACGCAUAAGCCUUAUGGGUAGGAGACAGUCUCAGCCCUCCCUUGGGAGCAGAGCAGUCACUCAAAGGCAUGCAAAAGGCAAAUUCACUGUACAGAGUGUAUACAGGGAAAUAAAAGCUGCACGGGCUCUGAGUGCUUGAGCAAGGAAGUAUAGCAAAGCAGGAAAGUCCAGACACAAAACCAAACAAAACACCAGGCAUAAAAUAAUCCACUCUCAGGGAGGCAGUUUCCACCUCCUGGGAGGAACACCCAGCGUGCAGUCAGGCAGAGUGGGCAGGCACAUGGGAAACAAUAGGCCUUUCUUUCUCCAGCAGCUGAGCACACACCCAGGAGAAAGGAGCCCCUCUCAGGAAGGCGAAGUCCGAGCCCGGCCCAGAGAGUAUGUGAGGCCAGUUGACAACACAGUACUUGCAUUCAAAUUCCUUCUGAAAAGGUAAAGGGGCUGCGUACACUCAUGUAAAAGAUAAGAAUUUCCUUCUGAACAAGAAAUAAAAGAUUGUACAUUUUUCCAGGGACUCUGAAAUGGAUGUUGCAAGAGGCAACCUGGGGUGGUUUGUCAGAAGGAGCCAAAAAAGUUCCAGGAAUAAGCAGUCCUUGGCCCAGUGGACCAGGCCCGAGACAGGGGGAGGUGCCUCACCCAGAGGCCUGGGUGAUUACAAUGGGUUGGUGGGGCCCCUGGGUGUUCCUGACCCUGCUCCAGGGGCAGAGGUGACAUCCACCCCCUGGCAGUUUUGUCCUCAGAACUGAGUAGGCAGGAAUCCUUCCCAUGCACACAGCGUGACCCAGUGCUGGUCUCCGCUAGGCAGGCCCAGACGGGGGAGGAAUGACAGACCUGUCAUGUGGUUUUGGAGCAGGAGGCAUAGUUCAGUUUCUGGUUGCCACAGUCCCACCCCUGACCUCCACAGGAUUGGACAGGGAGGAAAGGAGCCCCUGGCAGAUUGCCUGGACAUUCCUGAGGCUGUGGAUUCAGCACCUUCCUAAGAGGGCAGCCAUGGGCCUGUCUGCCACCCCACCUUCCUUGAUGCUAGCUGAUUAUGGACUGAAACCUCUACAGACUGUGAGCUAAAUAAACCUUUUCUCCUUUAACUUUGGGUGUUGGGUAUUUUGUCUCAGCAAUGAGAAAAGUAACUAAGAUAGCAGAAUUCUGGGAUUUGGCCCUAGCCACUGCACACCUCUGAAAAUCAGGCCCUUGACUGUCCCUCCAACCCACAUCAUCCUGGAAUAUAGAACAUGGAGCUCACCACCUGCAAUCUCCAGGUAGUACUUGAAUUGCUGAGCAAACACUUGCUAUUGGCAAAAGUACAAAGCUCGGUGCGUCCAACAGGAAAAACUAAACACAGAAGAACAGCAUCAGCUGGGUGGGGUGGGGCACAGGAACUUUGAGGAGACCCUUGUGGCUGUGGCUGAGGUCGAGCUAGGGUGGGUCCUGGUCACAAGGGAUGGAGAGGCGGGGACCGAGGACGGUACACCUCUCAUCCCAUGCCUUGCUAGUGCUGUGCCUCUGGAAGGACUCGGUGCGCAAGCUAACCAUGGAUGUCUCCCUGACAGCCCGCCUUGCAUCCUGUGGCCAGUUGCUGCCACAUUCCCGAGCGAUUCCCCAUGAGACUCCUGGACACCACCUUGUCUGUGCCUGGCUGACGUCUGAACGCACCCGUGGGCACUGAGCACAAAGCUGUCACCAUUUACCUGAUGUAGAGGGAAUAGAUGUAACUUCCAAACCUGCUAGGUCAAAAGGACAAAAAGAAGUGGACAAAAAGAAGAGCUCUGAAUUCCAACUGUCCUUCAAUGGAAAAAUGCUUCACCACCAGGAAAUCCCAGUCAUCGAUCAAGCUCUUCCAGAACUAACUCUCCAUACUCCUCGUUAGUAAUAUCAGGGGUUCUGGUCCAAAUGGGCUUAGUUUUGUUCAGUUCUUCUUGAUCAAUAUACUUUUCCUUAAUCUUCUUCUUUCCUUGUCACCAUCCUUCUUUUCUUCAUUAGAACCAACAUCUUCUAUUUCAAGUUUGUCAUCAGCCUCCUUUUCUUCUUUGUCUUUGUCUUCCUUUUUAUUUUCCAUUUCUUUUUUUUUUGUACUAGGGAUCGAAAUCAGGUCCUUGUGCUUUCACAGCAGGCGGCUAAACCACUGAGCUAAAUCCCUGGCCCUUUAUCUUUCAUUUCUUCAGUCUCAUCAUCACCCACUUCUUUAUCUCAUUCCUUCUCCACAAAGGGAGUAAUGGGACAGCCAACAAACUGAGAAUAUUUCUUCAAAUCUCUUUUAUUUUUCUUUCUUCCACGUACUUAGUUUGGUCUGCUUUCAGAUGCAGGAUAACCUUUGCUCCUCUGCCACGGAGUUCACCUUGUCAGUCCUCAUUGAAGGACCUGCCUGCUGAAGGUUCCAGGCAUACUGCUCAUCAUCGCUUUGCUUGGUGGUCACAGUCACUCUCUCAGCAACCAAGUGGAAACCCACACCUGACCGGCCAGUCAUGGAGUUGUCAGUGCCAACCUGCAAAGCCUCCAUGAAGGCCUUGGUCUCCAACUUGGUGAUGGUGCUGAAGUCAUCCAUCAAGUUAACCCUGGUCAUUCCGAUCCCAGUAUCCACGAUGGUGAGGGUUCGAUCUUGCUUGUUUGGAAUAAGAUAAAUGUGCAGCUCCUUGCUGGAAUCUAAUUUACUGGGAUCUGUCAGGCUUUCAUACCUAAUUUUGUCCAGAGCAUCUGACGAAUUUGGAAUCAAUCCCUCAGGAAGAUCUCUUUGAGUAGAAAGUGUUGUUGAUCAGUGACAUCAACUGGGCAAUUUCUGCCUGGAAGGUGAAUGUCUCUACCUCCUCCUCCUCCUCCUCCUCCAUGAGCUGGUCCUGGGUGAGUCUCCCCAGCAUCUUGGCUAAGCAACCCAUGGGAUCUGCAACAUAGCAGCUCUGAGAUGCUGAAGCAACUGGCCCAUCCCCUUUAUUUAUUUAUUUAUUUAUUUAUUUAUUUAUUUUUGGUACCGGAGAUCGAACUCAGGUCCUUGCAGUUGCAAGGCAGGCAGCAGAAACACUGAGCUAAAUCCCCGGCCCAGCCCCUUUAUUUUUAAAAUUUAUUUUCAGACAGGGACUUGCUAAGUUGCCCAGGCUGGCCUUGAACUUGUAGCCCUCCCGCCUUAGCCUCCUGAGUAGCUGGGAUUACAGGCAUGAGCCUCCAUGUCCAGCCAAUGUACUCUUUUGAAUAUAGCUGUGGAAAAGUGAAUAAUGACAGAGGGAGAAAAGCAGAGGCUGUAUGCAGAGAGCCGGGUUGUAUGUUUUGGGUAGAGGGAGUUAUGGAAUGUGGAUUGGGUUAAUACGAGUGCUCAGCUGGAGAGGGUGCAGCGUUCAGCUUUUUUUGGCCAUCAAUAAGAAAUUUACUUCCUUUUAAAAAUCCAGGGCCAGGAAUUUAGCUCAGUGGAGCCACUGCCUGCCUCACAAGCGCAAGGUCCUGAGUUUGAUCCCCGGUAAGCCAAAAAUAAAAUAAAAUGAAAUGAAAUAAAAUAAAAAUCCAAAUGCUGGCCUUGUCUGGAAAAAUUUAACAGGUUUAUUUAUUUAUUUAUUUUUUUGGUACCGGGGAUCGAACUCGGGUCCUUGCACUUGCACACAAGGCAGCAAAACCACUGAGCUAAAUCCCCGGCACAAACAGGUUUAUUUAUAAUGUUGUAAGGUUGAACUGCUGAAACUUGUUCAUCAAAAAAUUUUCACUUGCAUUAAUGCUUCACAUCCCCACGUUUUAUUAAAAUUUCACACAUGGAUGAAAAUGGAAAAACUGCCAAUACUUGAUUUCUGUCCCCUAUUUUUCUGCUUGACAGUCAUAUACUUGGGUAAAUUUUGACUCCAUGGAGAGAAAAUUUUUACAUUCAGAACUGCCAAAUACCAG
ensembl:lncRNA